UGUGAACCCCUCAAUGGGUUAAAUUUAAUUAAUAAAUAUGAAAGAAAUUUUAAAGCCAGCGUUUGAUGAUACAUUUGUUACAAAAUACCAUUAUCGGAAUGCUCUGAGCGCUGCCCCUGAAAAGUUGCUUUUCGUACAAAAACACCCCUGGCCCUUGUUGUUGCGUGUCGUGUUGAAUUUACAUUUCCAAGUAAUUUGCUUGUGUCAAAAGGUACAUAGCAAGGUGAGAGUUUCGUGAAGAUUUGAGCACUCGGCAUUAGGGUACGGCUGCCAGACGUCCUUGUUUUCUAGGAUUUGUCCUAUUUAGACAAAUUGUCCUGGUGUCCUGGUCCACAUUUAAAUUGUCCUGGUUUUUAAUGAAGUUAGGCUCUCUGUCAAACUGAUAACGAAACGUUUUUUCUAACAUGUUGAAUAUCUGGAAAAUGCCAAAAAAGUGCAUGUUCCCGAUCAGGUACACGGCUGAGGGGUCAUCCAUAAUUACAACCCAGAAG